rnacentral:rRNA from 1 species
AUUGAACGCUGGCGGCAGGCCUAACACAUGCAAGUCGAACGGUAACAGGAAGAAGCUUGCUUCUUUGCUGACAAGUGGCGGACGGGUGAGUAAUGUCUUGGAAACUGCCUGAUGGAGGGGGAUAACUACUGGAAACGGUAGCUAAUACCGCAUAACGUCGCAAGACCAAGAGGGGGACCGUCGGGCCUCCUGGCCUCGGGUGUGCCCAGAUGGGAUUAGCUUGUAGGUGGGGUAACGGCCCACCUAGGCGACGAUCCCUAGCUGGUCUGAGAGGAUGACCAGCCACACUGGAACUGAGACACGGUCCAGACUCCUACGGGAGGCAGCAGUGGGGAAUAUUGCACAAUGGGCGCAAGCCUGAUGCAGCCAUGCCGCGUGUAUGAAGAAGGCCUUCGGGUUGUAAAGUACUUUCAGCGGGGAGGAAGGGAGUAAAGUUAAUACCUUUACUCAUUGACGUUACCCGCAGAAGAAGCACCGGCUAACUCCGUG